UGGAGCGGGACGGGGGUUAUGAACCCGUGGUACAUGAGCCUCUCGAGGGGCGCCUCGCAGUUGAACGGGUGUUUUCCGGUGAGUCGGAUCAUCGACGGGUUUCGCUCGAUCCAGUUGUCGGAGGUGGCUUCGUCUCGUGGGUCCAGUAUCGACGGCUCCAGCUCGCUGUUUCCCUUUCGGAUCAGAUCUCCGUAGUGAGUGACGUCAUCUUCAUCGUCAUCGUCGGAGGAGGAAUCUUGAGGAAUGACAUUGACGGCGGGUUUGGAGUUGGAGAAGCGGUAAGGGACUGUGGUGGCGGCGGUGGGAGUGGGUUUGAAAGGACGAACGCCGUUUAAGGAAGGUGGUGGCUGGAGGUGGAACUGGUGGCGGUUGUCGACGGAAGCCGCCAUUAGUGAGAGGACUCCGACUGAGGAUUGGAAUCAGUUUGGAGAUUUGGUGGUCUGCCGGUUAGCUGAAAUUAUGGUGGAGAAAUGGGGGAGGGGGAGAGUAUAUAUAUAGGAGAGAAAGUUGGAACGCGUCAAAGGGUGGAGAAGUGGGACCCACUUUUAUUUCAUUUAUCUUUUUAAAAUUUAUUGUGUGGCUUCUGAUUUCCUUUUCUGUGGUACAAAGAUUUUAAUUUUUUCCUUCCGUUUCAAGAAUCUUUUGUAAUAUAUAUUUUUUUUUGUUGUAUAUGGUAAUAUAUGUAAUAAUAAUAACAUACUAUAUUAUUGUUAUUAUUUCCUAUUUUUUUAUACAAAUGAUAAAAAUUUGUAACUACAUAUUUUAACCAGAUGACUUUGUAAAGAUUAUUGUUCUAACUAUUUACAAUCCUAUUUGAAAAAAGAGAGACAAAAUAAAGUUUAUCUAAUUAUAAAGCAGACAUAAAAUAUCGCCGAAUUUAUGAGUGUAAGAACACUGAGAUAUUUUUCGUGAUACCAUUAAAUAAAUUAUAUAAUAAUACAUACCUAGUUUGUUCCAAUAGUACAUAACUUGCAUCUUUCAACUGCUUUCGCCAUUGGUCUCUUGCAAACUAUUUGGAAGCUCUGGCAAACUAAGUAUCUAAAAAAUAAGCAUUUCGGUAAUCUUUAGUACCUCUUUAUUAACUUCCUCGUACGUUUCACAAAGAACCACUCAGAAAUGCUCAACAAUGUUCUACUCAAUUCUCCGAUCGAACUAUUUUAUUAUAGCCCACACGACAUUUUUGGCGGGAGACGUAGCAAAUUAAUUUUUGUGCUUAAAGUGUAAAAGUAAUAAUAAAGUAUAAAAAUCUACCAAAAUAAUCUUUUUUUAGGGACGGCAAUGAGAAGUACAAAAGCGAGUUGUCUACGCCUCUACGACCACUUGGCUAUGUAGACAAUAUGUCUAUGGGCGUUCUAAGGUACGACAAUUAUUCAAAGCAUGCACAGAAAUAUUUGUCGAUAUAUUACUAGGCAUGAGAUUUCCUUGCUUCAGUAACGUACGGUUAGAAUCCAUGAACAUUAUAUAUAUAUAUAGAGUAUACUUGCUCGUCUUUGGAUACUGUAUGUUUGAAACCAUAGGCUUGAGUUUUAAUAAUAGAACGUGGUAUUGCAAUCUUGAAGAAAAGGAUAGAUAGAUGGGUUUGUGUAAUAAGUGAUUUAAGUACAAUACUGUGGUGCAGAAGGCAACAACCG
rnacentral:lncRNA from 1 species